rnacentral:rRNA from 1 species
GACGAACGCUGGCGGCGCGCCUAACACAUGCAAGUCGAACGGGCGAGAGAGAGCUUGCUUUCUUGAGCGAGUGGCGAACGGGUGAGUAACGCGUGAGGAACCUGCCUCAAAGAGGGGGACAACAGUUGGAAACGACUGCUAAUACCGCAUAAGCCCACGACCCGGCAUCGGGUUGAGGGAAAAGGAGCAAUCCGCUUUGAGAUGGCCUCGCGUCCGAUUAGCUAGUUGGUGAGGUAACGGCCCACCAAGGCGACGAUCGGUAGCCGGACUGAGAGGUUGAACGGCCACAUUGGGACUGAGACACGGCCCAGACUCCUACGGGAGGCAGCAGUGGGGAAUAUUGCACAAUGGGGGAAACCCUGAUGCAGCGACGCCGCGUGGAGGAAGAAGGUCUUCGGAUUGUAAACUCCUGUUGUUGAGGAAGAUAAUGACGGUACUCAACAAGGAAGUGACGGCUAACUACGUG